rnacentral:rRNA from 1 species
GACGAACGCUGGCGGCGUGCCUAAUACAUGCAAGUCGAACGCUUUUUCUUUCACCGGAGCUUGCUCCACCGAAAGAAAAAGAGUGGCGAACGGGUGAGUAACACGUGGGUAACCUGCCCAUCAGAAGGGGAUAACACUUGGAAACAGGUGCUAAUACCGUAUAACACUAUUUUCCGCAUGGAAGAAAGUUGAAAGGCGCUUUUGCGUCACUGAUGGAUGGACCCGCGGUGCAUUAGCUAGUUGGUGAGGUAACGGCUCACCAAGGCAACGAUGCAUAGCCGACCUGAGAGGGUGAUAGGCCACACUGGGACUGAGACACGGCCCAGACUCCUACGGGAGGCAGCAGUAGGGAAUCUUCGGCAACGGACGAAAGUCUGACCGAGCAACGCCGCGUGAGUGAAGAAGGUUUUCGGAUCGUAAAACUCUGUUGUUAGAGAAGAACAAGGAUGAGAGUAGAACGUUCAUCCCUUGACGGUAUCUAACCAGAAAGCCACGGCUAACUACGUGCCAGCCGCCGCUGUAA